rnacentral:rRNA from 1 species
GACGAACGCUGGCGGCGUGCUUAACACAUGCAAGUCGAACGGUGAAGCGCCUUCCUUUUUGGUGGGUGUGGAUGAGUGGCGAACGGGUGAGUAACACGUGAGUAACCUGCCCCCUUCUUCUGGAUAACCGCAUGAAAGUGUGGCUAAUACGGGAUAUUCUGGGUCUGUCGCAUGAUGGGUCUGGGAAAGAUAUUGUUUCGGUGGGGGAUGGGCUCGCGGCCUAUCAGCUUGUUGGUGGGGUGAUGGCCUACCAAGGCGGUGACGGGUAGCCGGCCUGGGAGGGUGGACGGUCACACUGGGACUGAGACACGGCCCAGACCCCUACGGGAGGCAGCAGUGGGGAAUAUUGCACAAUGGGCGCAAGCCUGAUGCAGCGACGCCGCGUGAGGGAUGGAGGCCUUCGGGUUGUGAACCUCUUUCGCCAGUGAAGCAGGCCUGCCUCGUUUGUGGGUGGGUUGACGGUAGCUGGAUAAGAAGCGCCGGCUAACUACGUG